UACGUGAGGGCGCGAGCGUUAUCCGGAAUUAUUGGGGCGUAAAAGAGCUCGUAGGCGGUUUGUCACGUCUGCUGUGAAAACUGGAGGCUCAACCUCCAGCCUGCAGUGGGUACGGGCAGACUAGAGUGCGGUAGGGGGAGAUUGGAAAUUCCCUGGUGUAGCGGUGGAAUGCGCAGAUAUCAGGAGGAACACCGGAUGGCGAAGGCAGAUCUCUGG
rnacentral:rRNA from 1 species